ACGGGUUCUACACUGCAAAAAAGGCACAAUAUUGUCAAAUAAAAAUUUGGGCAGCACCUCCCCUACACGGUGAGGUAUCCAAAACCUGCAAGAAACAACGGCUCGAUGGCCGACAACCACAUAUACUUACGCGACAAAAUAAGUAUAUCACAAACUAGUGUAAAUAAUGGUACAAAACCAUUAGUUGGAGAGCAUGCCAAUGUAUCUACGGAAAGUAUCCCCAAAGGUAACAAAAAUGGAAAACUUGUCAACUUUCAUCCGUGACUGGAUAAUCAUGGUCCAAUCUUCGGUCCUAGAUUCUCCUAGAAUUUAAAAGGUGGAAAAUGAAGAUGAUUGACCAACAUAUGUCCUAUCGAAUUUGGCUGCCAAAAGAACCAAUAUUUGACACACAUCGGUAUUUAGAUCUUCCUUUUAAUCCUAGGAACAAAAAAUUCGAAGCUCAUCACUCUCAAGAUAUUGAUCACACGAAUCCGGAUACUAAUCACGCAGUAGCCAGGACUCAGCGAGAAGCUUAGAUUAACGAGAUGCUGUCUCUAAUUUCAAUGUUCCAUCCAUCAGGUUAUCAGUUUGCAUGACAUGGGACCAAAAGCAAGAUUUAGUUGGAGUGAGAA
rnacentral:lncRNA from 1 species